UCGAAGGAGAAUGAUUAUAUCGACAACGAGUAUUAUACUUACAAUCGUCGAUUUUUUCGUCUAAUUGGAUUUUAUCAACGUCAAACGUCAUCUAAGAAUAUUAUUUAUAUUUGUUUUAUUAAUUUCAUAAUAGUCUUAGCAUUAUUCGUACAGAUACAUUUUCUCGUGAUAUCUGAAUGGAAAUUAAUGUCGAUCGCCAAAUUACUUGAAACUAUCUUGCCUACUUUAUGCUUCGGCUUUUGUUAUUACAACAUAUUGUUCAAUAAUGAAAUUAUGAAGAAAAUACUUUAUCGUAUGAAAUUCGAUUGGGAUGACCUAGCAAACAAACCAGAACUAAUGAUACUGAAGAAAUAUGCUGAAAUUAGUAGACUUUGUACAAUAACAAUCGC